rnacentral:lncRNA from 1 species
GGCAAUACCAAAAAAGUAUUCUUGUCUAACUUGCAUUAUUUCCAAUAUCACAGGAAAGGAUAACCUUUGUGUAAAAUCACCUUACAUAAGAGUUCUAUAUGGUGUAAGAAAAGCAAAGCCUGAUUUCUCUACUCUCACCCUCACUUGUUAGCAGCUGCCCCUAAACUUCCUGUGGUUAUUAAACUAUGCAUGGGGAUUUGCUCUGUAUUGUGAAAACUACAAUAACAUUUAUAAAUAUUGUUCUUUUCCUCAUAUGUUUGAGGGAGAAAUUUCAUUAGAUGGGCCAUCCUUCAUAUAUAAGUCUAUAACACUAUAGCUAUUUUUUAAAUUUUAAUUUUGUUCACAUGUCAGGGAGAAUACUGGAGAUUGAAUCCAGGGACUCCCUACCACUAAGCUACAGCCCUUUUUACUUUUUGAGACACAGUCUCACUAAGUUGCCCAGGAGUUGAGAUCACCUCCUGAGCCUCUCAAGUAGCUGGAAUUAUAGGCAUACGCCACCGUCUCUUAACUUCAACCCAUUAUUUUAAAUAUUGGUGCUUAUGGUUUUAAAGGACUAUACUACUUGAAAUUCACUUUAGAAACAGAAAGAUUACAUCAUAGAUGCCAU